ensembl:ncRNA mir-966 mir-966 stem loop
AACCUGAUCCGCUGCUGUGGGUUGUGGGCUGUGUGGCUGUGGUAUAGGUGCCGCCAGUUGAUAACCCCCAGCGUGGGCACGGACCCA